rnacentral:rRNA from 1 species
AGUGAACGCUGGCGGUAGGCUUAACACAUGCAAGUCGAACGGCAGAACAGUAAGAGCUUGCUCUUACGGGUGGCGAGUGGCGGACGGGUGAGGAGUACAUCGGAAUCUACUUUUUCGUGGUGGAUAACGUAGGGAAACUUACGCUAAUACCGCAUACGCCCUACGGGUGAAAGCAGGGGAUCUUCGUACCUUGCGCGAUUGAUUGAGCCGAGGUCGGAUGAGCUAGUUGGCGGGGUAAUGGCCCACCAAGGCGACGAGCCGUAGCUGGUCUGAGAGAGUGGUAAGCGACACUGCAAGAGAGACAGGGUCCACACUCCGACGGUGAGAAGCAGUGGGGAAUAUUGGGCGAUGGGGGCAAGCAUGAUCCAGCAAUACGGGGUGGGCGAAGAAGGCAUUCGGGUUGUAAAGCCCAUUUGUAGCGAGAGAAGAACAGCAGGUUAAGACGACGAGGUACUGACGGUACCCGAAGAAUAAGCACCGGCUAACUUCGUG